AGAAAGUUAGAAUAUUUUCACAGAUUUUUGUUGUCAAAGAUUACUUAACAUCGUGCUGAAUCUCCUAGAAGCAGUUGAAGGAAAAGUGUUACCAUUACAUGGAAAUUUGAGUGAAGCUAGAUGCACACAAUGGAAAUAACUUGAGUAGUAUGAACUUGUGUCUGUGUUUUUGUACCUUAGGUUAAGGGGAUAAAGUUGAAUGCGGUUCUCUGUACCUGAUUUCUGAGGCUUCACUGAAGUUUAGAAAUUACUGGGCUGCACAGAGGUAGGAGUUAAAUUGUUAGACACUUGGACUAAAACAGGUGGUAAC
rnacentral:lncRNA from 1 species